GCGGACGAUUCAAAGCUUGCUUUUGGAUCGUUAGCGGCGGACGGGUGAGUAACACGUGGGCAACCUGCCCUGUAGACGGGGAUAACACCGAGAAAUCGGUGCUAAUACCGGAUAACACGAAAGGCCGCAUGGUCUUUCGUUGAAAGGCGGCGCAAGCUGUCGCUACAGGAUGGGCCCGCGGCGCAUUAGCUAGUUGGUGAGGUAACGGCUCACCAAGGCGACGAUGCGUAGCCGACCUGAGAGGGUGAUCGGCCACACUGGGACUGAGACACGGCCCAGACUCCUACGGGAGGCAGCAGUAGGGAAUCUUCCGCAAUGGACGAAAGUCUGACGGAGCAACGCCGCGUGAGCGAAGAAGGCCUUCGGGUCGUAAAGCUCUGUUGUUAGGGAAGAACAAGUACCGCAGUCACUGGCGGUACCUUGACGGUACCUAACGAGGAAGCCACGGCUAACUACGUGCCAGCAGCCGCGGUAAUACGUAGGUGGCAAGCGUUGUCCGGAAUUAUUGGGCGUAAAGCGCGCGCAGGCGGUUCCUUAAGUCUGAUGUGAAAGCCCACGGCUCAACCGUGGAGGGUCAUUGGAAACUGGGGGACUUGAGUGCAGAAGAGGAGAGCGGAAUUCCACGUGUAGCGGUGAAAUGCGUAAAGAUGUGGAGGAACACCAGUGGCGAAGGCGGCUCUCUGGUCUGUAACUGACGCUGAGGCGCGAAAGCGUGGGGAGCAAACAGGAUUAAAUACCCUGGUAGUCCCCGCCGUAACGAUGAGUCUAAGUUUAGAGGUAUCCCCCUUUAGUCUGUACUUACCCAUAACCAUCCGCUGGGGAGUCGCUCCAAGAGGAAACUCAAGGAAUUGACGGGGCCCGCCCAAGCGUGGGGCAUGUGUUUAAUUUGAGGCACGGCGAGGACCCUUACCGGUUUUGACUUCCCCUGCAAACCGGAGGGUUGGGGCGUUCCCCCUUCGGGNGGACAGGGUGACAGGUGGUGCAUGGUUGUCGUCAGCUCGUGUCGUGAGAUGUUGGGUUAAGUCCCGCAACGAGCGCAACCCUCGACCUUAGUUGCCAGCAUUCAGUUGGGCACUCUAAGGUGACUGCCGGCUAAAAGUCGGAGGAAGGUGGGGAUGACGUCAAAUCAUCAUGCCCCUUAUGACCUGGGCUACACACGUGCUACAAUGGGCGGUACAAAGGGUCGCGAACCCGCGAGGGGGAGCCAAUCCCAAAAAGCCGCUCUCAGUUCGGAUUGCAGGCUGCAACUCGCCUGCAUGAAGCCGGAAUCGCUAGUAAUCGCGGAUCAGCAUGCCGCGGUGAAUACGUUCCCGGGCCUUGUACACACCGCCCGUCACACCACGAGAGUUGCAACACCCGAAGUCGGUGAGGUAACCCUUA
rnacentral:rRNA from 1 species